rnacentral:rRNA from 1 species
UACGUAGGGUCCGAGCGUUGUCCGGAUUUAUUGGGCGUAAAGAGCUCGUAGGCGGUUCCGUAAGUCGGAUGUGAAAGCCCUGGGCUCAACCCAGGAAGUGCACUCGAUACUGCGUGGCUUGAGUACUGGAGAGGUUGGUGGAAUUCUCGGUGUAGAGGUGAAAUUCGUAGAUAUCGAGAGGAACACCGGUGGCGAAGGCGGCCAACUGGACAGAUACUGACGCUGAAACACGAAAGCGUGGGGAGCAAACAGG